rnacentral:lncRNA from 1 species
GAAGUUAUAAAAAGAAUUAUUGAAUUAUGCAGGAUUUUUCCAGGAUGUCAGACUCGAUGUCAUGACAUCCUGUACACAGAACAUUCAGUAUGAAUGUCUGGUGUUUUGCGAUUGCACAAUUAAUGGCAGUCUAUGUAUGAUUGAAGAUCUGAUUAGUUGGCGCAUUCAAUCAUGGAUUACAACCUGAUUUACUUAUUUUCCAAGGAGAUCCAACCAACUGUUAUAAAAAGAUUUGAUUGG